AGAUCGUACAACCAACGUGGUAAUGCUGGCAUAAUAAUUCCCGGUUGCCAUUUUCUGACAUUUGAAAAGAUCUGAAGAUACGCCCCUUGGAUGCCUGCAGAGAAGCUCUGGGGCUUCAGUCAAUGACUCAGGGUAGCCACCGAACAUGAUGCUCGGGCAGUGGGUGCCACCUGGACUCCACUCUCCCCUCUCUCUGGGAUCAUAGAGUCCAAGGUGUUCUGUGGCCUCUCGGCCAAUCCCAGCAGCUCAGCGUGCAGAAGACCGAGGAGCCAUUGGAAUUCAACACAACACGAAAUAAUCAACAAAUUCGGGGAAUGUUAAUCUGACCAUCACCAGUUACAAAUGAUGUUUCAUGCUACCUUCUAUUCCUGCCUUCAUAAAUCAAGCUCUAAAUCUCCAGGAAAAAAUGUGCUCAGGAUGGCCAGAGAAAUGUCCUUCCAACUGUGCAUGGAAAGGUAUGAUUUUGUGCAGCAGGUGAAGGACUGGUUAGAGUAAGUGUGUGCUGAGCUUUUGUGUUUGAAAGCGAGCCUGUGCACUUCUAACGAUUGGAAGGUUUCCUUGCCUUCUCCGAUCUUACACACAGCAAGGACAGCAAAGCCUUCCAGACCUGCCUGUGACAUGCACUGCACAUUCUAAAGAUGCCUAUGCAAUGGAAAACACCACUGUCUGCUCCAGCACAGCUGCCAUUCUUCCAUCUUAUCGACCUUAAUGCAACAACUCCUCACAGGCAGAGAUUUUAAAAUGUGUUCUUGGCAGAAGAGAGACUCAAAGAUGGGACAAAUGUGUCAUUUAAAUGCCUGUUAAAAUGGAAACAGACAUAGUAUAGUCAGAGGAUUGUGGCAGCUAAGAACAUAGUCUCUGGAGCAAAUCUGCAUGGGUGGCAAUGCCAAGCACAUGAGGUCCUAGUUGUAUGAACUUAGGAAAAGAAAAAGAGAACAUAUAUCCCCCUACCUUUUGAUUUCCAACAGUCUACUGAGAGGCCAAGAUUAUUUGCAGGGAAAGAAAAGGGGUCAAAAUGUUUUGCCAGUAACUCCCAAAUCAUCUACAGCCAAGGAGAAAAGUGUUUCAAGACAGAGGUGCUCAAUGGUAUCAAAUACUGCCAACAGACCAAGUAAUACAUGCAUUGAAGUGUCUACUGGAUCUAGCUAUAUGAAUUUUUAAUUUAGGACACUUAGGCCAUACUGAAGCAAGGUGACAAAAUGAAUAGCUACAAUGUCUCGUGAAUCUUGGGUUUCCAUUCACCCUGGUAUUCAAGAGAAAUUCUUGCAUCAUGGAAGUUGCAGUUGGAUAGGACUUUCUCAGCUGAACACUGUCAUCUGCCAGAGCUUCAGGCAAGAACCCAGAACAGAUGAAACCCCAGACAUGACAAAAUAAGCCAAAGAAUACCAGGCCAAGGUGUGAAAGGCCAGAUGAGAACAAGCAGCGUACACGAUUCUGUUGCCAACAGAUCUCCCCUAACAGUGUCGUGCACCAAAUUUCCACAGUGAAUGUCAGGAAAAAAUGGCAAUUGAGGUGGGUGGUCAAAAGAGAAGCACAGUCUAUGAUGAAGUCACCCCAGAGAAGUCCUUUUUCCGUUUUCUCCUGAGAAAUUACCAGAAGAAAUUAAAAUCCUUUUGAGUAUUGCAUUUA
rnacentral:lncRNA from 1 species